rnacentral:rRNA from 1 species
UAACGCGUGAGGAACCUGCCUUCCAGAGGGGGACAACAGUUGGAAACGACUGCUAAUACCGCAUGAUGCGUUGGAGCCGCAUGACUCUGACGCCAAAGAUUUAUCGCUGGAAGAUGGCCUCGCGUCUGAUUAGCUAGUUGGUGAGGUAACGGCCCACCAAGGCGACGAUCAGUAGCCGGACUGAGAGGUUGGCCGGCCACAUUGGGACUGAGAUACGGCCCAGACUCCUACGGGAGGCAGCAG